GACGAACGCUGGCGGCGUGCUUAACACAUGCAAGUCGAACGGAAAGGCCCUGCUUUUGUGGGGUGCUCGAGUGGCGAACGGGUGAGUAACACGUGAGUAACCUGCCCUUGACUUUGGGAUAACUUCAGGAAACUGGGGCUAAUACCGGAUAGGAGCUCCUGCUGCAUGGUGGGGGUUGGAAAGUUUCGGCGGUUGGGGAUGGACUCGCGGCUUAUCAGCUUGUUGGUGGGGUAGUGGCUUACCAAGGCUUUGACGGGUAGCCGGCCUGAGAGGGUGACCGGCCACAUUGGGACUGAGAUACGGCCCAGACUCCUACGGGAGGCAGCAGUGGGGAAUAUUGCACAAUGGGCGGAAGCCUGAUGCAGCAACGCCGCGUGCGGGAUGACGGCCUUCGGGUUGUAAACCGCUUUCGCCUGUGACGAAGCGUGAGUGACGGUAAUGGGUAAAGAAGCACCGGCUAACUACGUGCCAGCAGCCGCGGUGAUACGUAGGGUGCGAGCGUUGUCCGGAUUUAUUGGGCGUAAAGGGCUCGUAGGUGGUUGAUCGCGUCGGAAGUGUAAUCUUGGGGCUUAACCCUGAGCGUGCUUUCGAUACGGGUUGACUUGAGGAAGGUAGGGGAGAAUGGAAUUCCUGGUGGAGCGGUGGAAUGCGCAGAUAUCAGGAGGAACACCAGUGGCGAAGGCGGUUCUCUGGGCCUUUCCUGACGCUGAGGAGCGAAAGCGUGGGGAGCGAACAGGCUUAGAUACCCUGGUAGUCCACGCUGUAAACGGUGGGUACUAGGUGUGGGGUCCAUUCCACGGGUUCCGUGCCGUAGCUAACGCUUUAAGUACCCCGCCUGGGGAGUACGGCCGCAAGGCUAAAACUCAAAGGAAUUGACGGGGCCCCGCACAAGCGGCGGAGCAUGCGGAUUAAUUCGAUGCAACGCGUAGAACCUUACCUGGGUUUGACAUGGAUCGGGAGCGCUCAGAGAUGGGUGUGCCUCUUUUGGGGUCGGUUCACAGGUGGUGCAUGGCUGUCGUCAGCUCGUGUCGUGAGAUGUUGGGUUAAGUCCCGCAACGAGCGCAACCCUUGUUCACUGUUGCCAGCACGUUAUGGUGGGGACUCAGUGGAGACCGCCGGGGUCAACUCGGAGGAAGGUGGGGAUGACGUCAAGUCAUCAUGCCCCUUAUGUCCAGGGCUUCACGCAUGCUACAAUGGCUGGUACAGAGAGUGGCGAGCCUGUGAGGGUGAGCGAAUCUCGGAAAGCCGGUCUCAGUUCGGAUUGGGGUCUGCAACUCGACCUCAUGAAGUCGGAGUCGCUAGUAAUCGCAGAUCAGCAACGCUGCGGUGAAUACGUUCCUGGG
rnacentral:rRNA from 1 species